CCUACGGGGAGCAGCAGUGAGGAAUAUUGGUCAAUGGACGAGAGUCUGAACCAGCCAAGUAGCGUGAAGGAUGACUGCCCUAUGGGUUGUAAACUUCUUUUAUAUGGGAAUAAAAUGUUCCACGUGUGGGAUUUUGUAUGUACCAUAUGAAUAAGGAUCGGCUAACUCCGUGCCAGCAGCAGCGGUAAUACGGAGGAUCCGAGCGUUAUCAGGAUUUAUUGGGUUUAACGGGCGCGUAGGUGGAUUGUUAAGUCAGUUGUGAAAGUUUGCGGCUCAACCGUAAAAUUGCAGUUGAAACUGGCAGUCUGGAGUACAGUAGAGGUAGGCGGAAUUCGUGGUGUAGCGGUGAAAUGCUUAGAUAUCACGAAGAACUCCGAUUGCGAAGGCAGCUCACUGGACUGCAACUGACACUGAGGCUCGAAAGUGUGGGUAUCAAACAGGAUUAGAUACCCUUGUAGUC
rnacentral:rRNA from 1 species